UGACCUUGAUACCAUUUGGUGGGGCACUCCCCCUAUGUCAUAGCAUGGGUCAUUCACUUGUCAAUCUUGUUGGUGAGGGAACUUUCUUUGCUUGAUGAUCACUUAAAGUUGAGGAUCACUUGUGGAACUAUUGGGUAUUUUAAACGCAAACAGAAAAAUCCGCAAGCGCACGGAUACCGAUGUAGCCUUCACCCGGGAGUAUUCCAGAGUAUCGAUUUUCCACAGGGAACGUGAGUGUACUAAUUAAGAUUCAAGAUCGCCCAAGGAUAACUAUAUAAUUAUUUUUGGUGGGAAGAGAGGAAGUUUCCUGAGAGUUCUCUAGUUGAUCUAAGAAUCAAGAAUUACUUCAAGAUUAUCUAUAUCGGGACAUUAGAGCACUAACCACAGAAAGAGAUGAGAAGGGGGCUAGGAAGGUCUGACUACGGUCCUACAAACACCGAUCCGAACGAGGUGGAAUACGUCAACCGUUAGGGCUGUCACUACCCUAAGGCUACCACAACAAUCCGCAGGAUUGGGUGCAAUUCCAAGUAAUUGCAAGACUAAACACCACGUCUAAUCUAUUAAUUACUACUCUAAUGUUGCAAGGAUUAGAGCACUUGAUGCACGCGGGAAUCCAAUAAAUAACUUGAAUGUAAAUAAAAGUAAUUAAAGAACUCAGGAUUAUGAAUUGAAGAACCUGGAGAACGAUGAAGAACGAACCAGUUGCUACAAAAGUACAAUGUGAGGAAGAUCUGACAGACCCGGCUCCUCCUCCGCUCUCCUCUUCUCUUUCCCUAUUUUCUAGAUUACAACUAGAACUAACUAGAACUAGAACUAGAGGAACUAGAACUAGAACUAGAGGUUACUUUUAUGCCUCUUAUUACAGGGUUUUUAAGUUAUCACUAAGGUCUUAAGUGAUUGAAAAACAGAACGAUCAAGUCAAGCACUAUGUCUCAAGUUCUUCUGUCUUACCUUUGUUCUGGAGUUUUUUAUAAGUCUACAAAACAAAACUGAGGCAUUUGCCUUCUUCUCGAAAGAUAUAUAAGUAGAGCUUUAAAAGUUUUAGAAUACUUACUUUGCAUUUUGCUAUGUCAAUGCUCGAAGCAAGGGAGACAAAUGUCAUACUCCUAGAUCAAGACCUUUGAACUUUUUGAAAAGUUUGUCAUCUCUUACUGGCAUAUUGCUUAUUAGAGGGACCAUGGGCUAUCAUUUUUUUUUCUUUCUUCUUUUUUUUAGUAUCUCUCCUUUUUUCAAAUGGGCACCAAGUACCCCUAAUUCUACUAUCGGACACGUGUCCAUUUUUUUACCUCUCGUCUCACUCUUUUUUUCGAAUCAAAUUUUUGCAUAGUCCCAUGCCUCUAACGCACUAAUACUUCGGAAGAGUGAAUCUUUUAUAUUUUUAAAACAAAAAGAUCUUGAUCUUUAGAGCAUUAUAAUUCUCUCAACCAAAACUACAAGAAUUAACAAUGGCUUGAACAAAGCAAGUGCCCACAGUUUUAAUAUUUAUAUCUUAUAAGACUCUAGGUAUUAUGUCAAACAGGAUCUCAAAAAUUUUUUUUUAGAUGUUCAAAAGAUAAAAUCUCCAGAACUCUAGCAAAACAUGGAACAAGAUAAAUAAUAGCUCAGACCUUCUCAUAUCAUGUUUGUCAAUUACCUAGACUUGGAUCAAACUUUCUUUUUAUUUUAUUUAAAACUUAGGAUUACACAAAACUACUGUAUAUGACUCAAAAGAAAAACUUUGUUUGGUUUCAUGGUUAUGCAUUUUUUUAUUUCGAAUACUAGUAAAUAAAACCAAGAAAGAAAAGUAAUACUUAUCUAGAUACACGUGGGGAUGCCUCCCCCAAGCUAGAUGUUGACAUAGUCGUUUACUCUUGUGGCCUGCAUGUUUGGACUCACUAUUCUUAAGCCUCAAAAUCCUGCACAACCCAAAUAGACAACAAAACUCGUGGAGCAUGUUAAGGGUUAGGUAAUUGUCUAGAGCUUAUGAGAGUUUAAUAUGAGAAUUCUAUGAACUCAAUCACAUCAAGUUCCUCUACCAGGUUAUUUUGUGGCUCGAGAUAGAUUUUUAAGCGUUGACCAUUUACCUUAAAAAUGUUACCUAUGUCAUCUUAGAUGGUAAUGGCUCCAUGAGUUGAAGUGUCAAUAACCUUGUAUGGUCCAUCCCACUUACUUCGUAGCUUACCAUGCCCAAAGAGCUUAACUCUUGAAUUGAAUAGUAGAACCUUAUCUCUAGGCUUAAACUCCUUGUGCUUGAUUCUCUUAUCAUGCCAUCGUUUUGUUCUCUCUUUAAAGAUCCUUGAAUUGUGGUAGGCUUUCUCUCUCCAUUCUUCUAGAUCAGAUAGUUGCAUCAGACGAUUCACGCUAGCGAGGUGGAGAUCCAUGUUCCAUUUCUUGAGUGCCAAUGAGCCUUAAACUCUACUUCCACAGGCCAAGUGACAAGUUUUUCCAUAUACAAGUUGAUAAGGUGACAUGCCUAUGGGUGUUUUGAAUGCAGUUCUAUAUGCCCAAAGUGCAUCAGGAAGUUUGUCCUUCCACCCCUUACCCAUCUCAUCUACGGUCUUUUGUAAAAUAUUUUUGAUUUGUUUGUU
rnacentral:lncRNA from 1 species